GGGAAGGUGGCUCAGUGGUAGAGCUCUUGCCUUGCAUGUAUGAGUUCAAUUCCUCCCCU
rnacentral:tRNA from 1 species